ensembl:lncRNA
CGUCAGGCAGGAGGCGCUCUCGUGAUGUGUACAGUGUAAUGAUAGUAGUAAGCUGUAACCUUUCACGCGCGCGAGCGUGUGUGUGGAAUUAAAAGUUACCUGGAUAAAUGCUCACAGCUCCAGUUCACCUACUGUGCUCGUGACAGAAACUCCACCAUGAGGCGGAAUAAAGACUCCAACUGUGUGGAAGCAGAGAGAGAGAGAAUGAUGGCAGGAGGGAAUAUUCGCCGCAUCGGGACUCGUUUAUCUUUCAGUAAAAGUUGUGUGUAAGUGUGUGCGUGAACCGAAACCCAGAAAUGCAGAUUUUCUUCGUACGCGUGCAUAUUCUGAUCACCGUAAAGUACAAAACGUGUUCCUGACUCAGCUCAUUUACAUGUAGCGACACCCACAAAACUCCAUAAAAGGUAAAGUGCACAGACAGCUGGGAGCAUGAAAUGAGCCAUCAGGAUAAAGACUGAAAGACUGAAGUGGAGGUUAUUUUGACUCACU